UGCACAAGCAAUGGGAAAAGAGACACCUUGGUGGUGGUAUUGUUCUUCUAUCAGUCCAGGGCAGAGCAGGCAGCAAGUCUUUGUUCAUCCUAGCUUGAUGCCUGACUUGGUGGCCAAACCUGCCUUAUGCCUGAGACCCAUAA